GAUGAACGCUGGCGGCGUGCCUAAUACAUGCAAGUAGAACGCUGAAGGAAGGAGCUUGCUCUUUCCGGAUGAGUUGCGAACGGGUGAGUAACGCGUAGGUAACCUGCCUGGUAGCGGGGGAUAACUAUUGGAAACGAUAGCUAAUACCGCAUAACAGUAGAUGUUGCAUGAUAUCUACUUAAAAGGUGCAAUUGCACCACUACCAGAUGGACCUGCGUUGUAUUAGCUAGUUGGUGAGGUAACGGCUCACCAAGGCGACGAUACAUAGCCGACCUGAGAGGGUGAUCGGCCGCACUGGGACUGUGACACGGCCCAGACUCCUACGGGAGGCAGCAGUAGGGAAACGUCGGCAAGGGACGGAAGUCUGACCGAGCAACGCCGCGUGAGUGAAGAAGGUUGUCGGAUCGGAGAGCUCUGUUGUAAGAGAAGAACGAGUGUGAGAGUGGAAAGAUCACACUGUGACGGUAUCUGACCAGAAAGGGACGGCUAACUACGUG
rnacentral:rRNA from 1 species